ensembl:snRNA U6 U6 spliceosomal RNA
AUGCUCACUUCGGCAGCACAUAGAGCAAAACUGGAGCGAUAAAGAGAUUAGCAUGGCCCCUGCGCAGGGACGGCACACACAUUCGUGAAGCGUUCCAUACUUUU